ACCAGACUCCUACGGGAGGCAGCAGUGGGGAAUAUUGGGCAAUGGGCGCAAGCCUGACCCAGCAACGCCGCGUGAAGGAAGAAGGCUUUCGGGUUGUAAACUUCUUUUGACAGGGAAGAGUAGAAGACGGUACCUGUCGAAUAAGCCACGGCUAACUACGUGCCAGCAGCCGCGGUAAUACGUAGGGAGCGAGCGUUGUCCGGAUUUACUGGGUGUAAAGGGUGCGUAGGCGGCUUGGCAAGUCAGUAGUGAAAUCCAUGGGCUUAACCCAUGAACUGCUAUUGAAACUGUCGAGCUUGAGUGAAGUAGAGGUAGGCGGAAUUCCCGGUGUAGCGGUGAAAUGCGUAGAGAUCGGGAGGAACACCAGUGGCGAAGGCGGCCUGCUGGACUGCAACUGACGUUGAGGCCCGAAAGCGUGGGGAGCAAACAGGAUUAGAUACCCGAGUA
rnacentral:rRNA from 1 species